GACUCAAUAGCUCAGCAGGUAGAGCACAUCCCUUUUAAGGAUGGGGUCCUGGGUUCGAGCCCCAGUUGGGUCA
rnacentral:tRNA from 1 species